ACCUGACGCAGCAACGCCGCGUGAGUGAAGAAGGCCUUUGGGUCGUAAAGCUCUGUCAACUGGGAAGAAGUUACAUAUUAUGAACAGUGGUAUGUAUUGACGGUACCAGUGGAGGAAGCGCCGGCUAACUCCGUGCCAGCAGCCGCGGUAAU
rnacentral:rRNA from 1 species